GGACGGUAAAGGCCCUCCUGAGAUCGAGAUCAACGAUCUUAAUCACAGAUUAGUUCAAAUAUCAGCGUGGAUUUUAAUUUUUUAAAUGACAUGGUAUGAACCGACAUCGUUUUAUGCCAUGUCAUUUUAAAAAAUAAAAUAUAAAUUACACAGUGGCAUUCGCGGCGAGCCAUAUCAUGUUUUUGGUGAUCGAAAAAUGGACGCUGGAUAUUAUUGACACGAAUGUAAUAGUUUGGGGUUUUAGACGAUAUUUAUAAUAGUUCAAGAUAUUUUUGAUAAAACGGGUAUAGUUCAUAGUUUAAUAUUAUAUUUAUCCAAAUUAGAAUGAUACAUGAUGAAAAUAGAAAAUUAAAAUUGAAUUGUUUUUUUAAAAAAUGAGUGUUUUUUAUAAGAUAAUAAAAUAAUAAGUUGGGGUAGAUAAAUUUAUUUUUUUGAGGAAAUUUAAAAGAGAUUAUAAACUUUAAAUAAUUUAUAAAUUAUUUUAAAAAGCUUAUUGGAUCAGUCAAACACCCUCUAAUGGAGUUUGAAACUUUGAAAGAAUUUGAGUAGGAGCUUAACUUAAUCCAUUACUAUGAAAUUUCAAAUAAUCCAGAAAACAAAAAUUAAAUAAAUAGCUAAAAACCCCUUACGACGACGUAAUGAACUCAGUUCAUCUCCCCCGUUUGCAAAUGAACUCCUGCAAAACCCUAAUUCGCGCUACAUUAUCAUGCCUGGAUUUCCGAGCUCGAAUUCCAAAUUCAAGUAUGCUGCGCCAUUUUCCCGUCUCUCUUUCAUCUCGUCCAGGGUUGAGAAUCAAAUCCCACAAGCCCUUUUCGAUUUCUAGAAGCUUCGGUAGUCUGGCAACCGCUAUUACAUCAGAAAUUUCCGAUUGUACAGAGGGAAUUGUAGCUCAUAGUGUUAAUUUAGAAACGCUACAAGAUUUAUGUAAGGAUAGGGUGGAGGAACUAUUGUCUUCCAAGAACAAGGAUGAUGUUUCAAGCUUGAUGAAAAUGGAGCGUCGUUUGGGAAAUGGUGAUGAGAGCAAUGGUGCUGAGAGGAGGAAGCGUUGGUUUCCUUAUUUAGAUAAAUGUACAGCCGAGGAUGCGUAUCUGAGCAGCAGUGAGGUUCUGGAAGCUGUUGCUCCUUACAUAAUGGACCCGAGGAAGGAAAAGUUUAGGAAUGCAGUGAAUAAUAGGAGCUAUUCUGUGUGUUUAGUGGUUGAGGGGUUGAGCGACUUUGGGAAUGUUUCGGCUGCUUUUCGGUCUGCUGAUGCUCUUGGAAUUCAGUCUGUCCAUGUCGUCUCAUUUGACAGCUCCAAAAGGUACAGAGACAAUCGCCAUGUCAGCAUGGGAGCAGAGAAAUGGUUGGACAUUGAACUGUGGGACUCAAUCAGUGAGUGCUUUGAAGUUCUGAAAGCACGUGGCUAUAGAAUUGCCACAACUCACCUGGGGGUGGAUGCGGUUUCUGUCUAUGAUGUAGACUGGUCUUGUCCUACUGCAAUAGUUGUUGGAAAUGAACUUAAUGGGAUAAGUGAGGAGGCUCUUAAGCUUUCAGAUCUACACUGCUGUAUCCCGAUGAGAGGCAUGGUUGACUCAUUUAAUGUUUCAGUAGCUGCUGGACUUUUAAUGCACCAUGCUGUAUGUGACAGGACUUCCCGCAUGGGUUGUCAUGGGGACUUAACAGAGGAUCAGCGCCAAAUUCUCCUGGCUGAGUUUUACCUCCGUCACAACAAAAACUCCACCAGAAUUGCCAAUGAAUACUCCAGGAGGAAAUUAGCUAUGCAAUCAAAACUCUGAAAGCACGACGUUUAACCUUGCAGAUCCGUAGUGGAGAAAUGUUGCAAAUCAUGAUGCAGAGUUCGAUAGGUAAUAACAUUGGAAAAACGGCAAGUUAAGAUUUUGGGCAAAGCACCAUAGUUGCCUUGGAAGGAUGAUGGCCACAUUGCCAGUUAUAUCAAUGCUGAAAGCCUCAAAACAGAAUUUUUGACAAGAAAAACAAAAUCUCAGCAACCUUAUGGACAUCAAAAAAAUCUGUUUUCUGCAGCAUCCUAGAGAAUUAAUUUUUGUAUUACACGUCCACUGAGGCACUGAGUAGCUUAUGAGAUUUCAUAUGAUAAUGAUGUGAGAUUUUGUAAAAAAAAUACUAUAUGUAGGUGUAUCUUAGUAAUUCUAUGUAUUUGAUAGACCUUGGCUGAUUAAGUUUAUCUUUAUUUCUUCUUA